UACAGAGGUCUCAAGCGUUGUUCGGAUUCAUUGGGCGUAAAGGGUGUGUAGGUGGCGCCGUAAGUCGGGUGUGAAAUUUCGGAGCUUAACUCCGAAACUGCAUUCGAUACUGCGGUGCUUGAGGACUGGAGAGGAGACUGGAAUUCAUGGUGUAGCAGUGAAAUGCGUAGAGAUCAUGAGGAAGACCGGUGGCGAAGGCGGGUCUCUGGGCCGAUACUGACGCUGAGGAGCGAAAGCGUGGGGAGCGAACAGG
rnacentral:rRNA from 1 species